rnacentral:rRNA from 1 species
GGUUAAGUUAGAAAGGGCGCACGGUGAAUGCCUUGGCACUAGGAGCCGAUGAAGGACGGGACUAACACCGAUAUGCUUCGGGGAGCUGUAAGUAAGCUUUGAUCCGGAGAUUUCCGAAUGGGGGAACCCACUGUUCGUAAUGGAACAGUAUCUUUACCUGAAUACAUAGGGUAUAGAAGGCAUACCCGGGGAACUGAAACAUCUAAGUACCCGGAGGAAGAGAAAGCAAACGCGAUUCCCUGAGUAGCGGCGAGCGAAACGGGACAUAGCCCAAACCAAGAGGCUUGCCUCUUGGGGUUGUAGGACACUCAACAUGGAGUUACAAAGGAACGGGGUAAAUGAAGCGACCUGGAAAGGUCAGCCAGAGAAGGUAAAAGCCCUGUAGUUGAAACUUCGUUCCCUCCUGAGUGGAUCCUGAGUACGGCCGGACACGAGAAAUCCGGUCGGAAGCAGGGAGGACCAUCUCCCAAGGCUAAAUACUCCCUAGUGACCGAUAGUGAACCAGUACCGUGAGGGAAAGGUGAAAAGCACCCCGGAAGGGGAGUGAAAUAGUUCCUGAAACCGUGUGCCUACAAGUAGUCAGAGCCCGUUUAUGGGUGAUGGCGUGCCUUUUGUAGAAUGAACCGGCGAGUUACGAUUACAUGCAAGGUUAAGUUGAAGAGACGGAGCCGCAGCGAAAGCGAGUCUGAAUAGGGCGAAUUUAGUAUGUAGUCGUAGACCC